UACAGAGGUCCCGAGCGUUUGUUCGGAUUCAUUGGGCGUAAAGGGUGCGUAGGCGGUUUUCUAAGUUUGAUGUGAAAUCCCGGGGCUUAACCCUGGAAUUGCAUUGAAUCUGGGAGACUAGAGUACUGGAGAGGAAACUGGAAUUUACGGUGUAGCAGUGAAUGCGUAGAGAUCGUAAGGAAGACAGUGGCGAAGGCGAGUUCUGGACAGUUACUGACGCUGAGGCACGAAGGCCAGGGGAGCAACGGG
rnacentral:rRNA from 1 species